rnacentral:rRNA from 1 species
CACGUAGGCACCAAGCGUUGUCCGGAUUUAUUGGGCGUAAAGAGCUCGUAGGCGGUUCAGUAAGUCAGGUGUGAAAUCUUUGGGCUUAACCCAAAGCGUGCACUUGAUACUGCUGUGACUUGAGUUCGGUAGGGGAGUGGGGAAUUCCUGGUGUAGCGGUGAAAUGCGCAGAUAUCAGGAAGAACACCCGUGGCGAAGGCGGCUCUCUGGGACGGUACUGACGCUGAGACGCGAAAGCGUGGGGAGCGAACAGG